rnacentral:rRNA from 1 species
UGGGAAAUAUUGCACAAUGGGCGCAAGCCUGAUGCAGCCAUGCCGCGUGUGUGAAGAAGGCCUUCGGGUUGUAAAGCACUUUCAGCGGGGAGGAAGGCGAUAAGGUUAAUAACCUUGUCGAUUGACGUUACCCGCAGAAGAAGCACCGGCUAACUCCGUGCCAGCAGCCGCGGUAAUACGGAGGGUGCAAGCGUUAAUCGGAAUUACUGGGCGUAAAGCGCACGCAGGCGGUCUGUCAAGUCGGAUGUGAAAUCCCCGGGCUUAACCUGGGAACUGCAUUCGAAACUGGCAGGCUAGAGUCUUGUAGAGGGGGGUAGAAUUCCAGGUGUAGCGGUGAAAUGCGUAGAGAUCUGGAGGAAUACCGGUGGCGAAGGCGGCCCCCUGGACAAAGACUGACGCUCAGGUGCGAAAGCGUGGGGAGCAAACAGG